UGGAAGUGAACCAUCUCAGUACCCACAGGAGAAGAAAACAAUAGUGAUUCCGCUAGUAGCGGCGAGCGAACGCGGAAGAGCCCAAACCUUCGUGCUUGCACGGGGGGGUUGGAGGGUCUGUUUGGCCGCAAGGCCGACGAGUUACCAACCAGCAACAUAGUCGAACGGUUUUGGAAAAGCCGGCCAUAGCGGGUGAUAGCCCCGUAGGCGAAAUGAUGCUGGCUCGUUGGACAGAUACCUGAGUAGCGCGGGACACGUGGAAUCCCGUGUGAAUCUACGAGGACCAUCUCGUAAGGCUAAAUACUCCCUGGCGACCGAUAGUGAACCAGUACCGUGAGGGAAAGGUGAAAAGAACCCCUGCAGGGGAGUGAAAUAGUACCUGAAACCGUAUGCCUACAAGCAGUGGGAGGGCUAUGCCGUGGUUCGCCUCGGAAUGCCUGACCGCGUGCCUUUUGCAUAAUGAGCCGGCUAGUU
rnacentral:rRNA from 1 species